AGAGUUUGAUCAUGGCUCAGAUUGAACGCUGGCGGCAGGCCUAACACAUGCAAGUCGAACGGUAACAGGAAGCAGCUUGCUGCUUUGCUGACGAGUGGCGGACGGGUGAGUAAUGUCUGGGAAACUGCCUGAUGGAGGGGGAUAACUACUGGAAACGGUAGCUAAUACCGCAUAACGUCGCAAGACCAAAGAGGGGGACCUUCGGGCCUCUUGCCAUCGGAUGUGCCCAGAUGGGAUUAGCUAGUAGGUGGGGUAACGGCUCACCUAGGCAACGAUCCCUAGCUGGUCUGAGAGGAUGACCAGCCACACUGGAACUGAGACACGGUCCAGACUCCUACGGGAGGCAGCAGUGGGGAAUAUUGCACAAUGGGCGCAAGCCUGAUGCAGCCAUGCCGCGUGUAUGAAGAAGGCCUUCGGGUUGUAAAGUACUUUCAGCGGGGAGGAAGGCGAUAAGGUUAAUAACCUUGUCGAUUGACGUUACCCGCAGAAGAAGCACCGGCUAACUCCGUGCCAGCAGCCGCGGUAAUACGGAGGGUGCAAGCGUUAAUCGGAAUUACUGGGCGUAAAGCGCACGCAGGCGGUCUGUCAAGUCGGAUGUGAAAUCCCCGGGCUCAACCUGGGAACUGCAUUCGAAACUGGCAGGCUAGAGUCUUGUAGAGGGGGGUAGAAUUCCAGGUGUAGCGGUGAAAUGCGUAGAGAUCUGGAGGAAUACCGGUGGCGAAGGCGGCCCCUCUGGACAAAGACUGACGCUCAGGUGCGAAAGCGUGGGGAG
rnacentral:rRNA from 1 species